CAACAGCGAAAGGAGGUGAUCCGAUGUCUCAUGGUUCAGCUAAGAGGUCGGUUCUGCUCGUUCGGGAGAUGAAGGCCUAGGCCUUCGCGUCAGGUCUUCCGGGCUGGAGCUUCCGGCCGCUGACCAUGUUAGGAGGGUCGUCGGGCAUCCCGCCCGGCGGCCC
rnacentral:sRNA from 1 species